rnacentral:snoRNA from 1 species
AUGCUAUACAAUUUUAGGAUAAUAAAAUAUUAAGUUGUCCUACUAUAGAUGCAAGAAGAAGGUCCUCACACUUUCUGUCUGUCUGGUUGUGGCAGCCAAAAUUGAAUGGGGGAAUAGAGGA